rnacentral:lncRNA from 1 species
CCUCACCUCCUGCCGGCCUCUCUGCUAGCCCUCCCCGCCCCAGGGGGGGUGGGUGGGAGGCCUUGAGAUUGUCCCCGGUACCCCAAGGACGCCGAGGUUACGGGAAGUUUGGGAACCCGGGCCCCAGUAUCCCGAGUUCUUCCAGGAGAGGGAAGACAGCAAAGACAGUGAGGGAGAGAGCAGACAUCUGUCUCUGGGGUGCUUAUCUGUGUGGAAGAGACCGGUCCUUCCUGAUUGGCUUCAUGUCCCUCAAGAUCCCAAGAAGGCUGUGGCCAAUGUCCCUAUUUCAAAGCCAGAGAAUAGGGGCAGAGACUCAGCAGCCUGCUCCUGGGUGCGAAGAGACAAGGUCAGGUGCAGCCUAUGCUCACAGUCUUGGAAG